UGAGUAACACGUAUCCAACCUGCCGAUAACUCGGGGAUAGCCUUUCGAAAGAAAGAUUAAUAUCCGAUAGUAUAUUAAAACCGCAUGGUUUUACUAUUAAAGAAUUUCGGUUAUCGAUGGGGAUGCGUUCCAUUAGUUUGUUGGCGGGGUAACGGCCCACCAAGACUACGAUGGAUAGGGGUUCUGAGAGGAAGGUCCCCCACAUUGGAACUGAGACACGGUCCAAACUCCUACGGGAGGCAGCAGUGAGGAAUAUUGGUCAAUGGACGAGAGUCUGAACCAGCCAAGUAGCGUGAAGGAUGACUGCCCUAUGGGUUGUAAACUUCUUUUAUAUGGGAAUAAAGUAUUCCACGUGUGGGAUUUUGUAUGUACCAUAUGAAUAAGGAUCGGCUAACUCCGUGCCAGCAGCCGCGGUAAUACGGAGGAUCCGAGCGUUAUCCGGAUUUAUUGGGUUUAAAGGGAGCGUAGGUGGAUUGUUAAGUCAGUUGUGAAAGUUUGCGGCUCAACCGUAAAAUUGCAGUUGAAACUGGCAGUCUUGAGUACAGUAGAGGUGGGCGGAAUUCGUGGUGUAGCGGUGAAAUGCUUAGAUAUCACGAAGAACUCCGAUUGCGAAGGCAGCUCACUAGACUGCAACUGACACUGAUGCUCGAAAGUGUGGGUAUCAAACAGGAUUAGAUACCCUGGUAGUCCACACAGUAAACGAUGAAUACUCGCUGUUUGCGAUAUACAGUAAGCGGCCAAGCGAAAGCAUUAAGUAUUCCACCUGGGGAGUACGCCGGCAACGGUGAAACUCAAAGGAAUUGACGGGGGCCCGCACAAGCGGAGGAACAUGUGGUUUAAUUCGAUGAUACGCGAGGAACCUUACCCGGGCUUAAAUUGCAAAUGAAUAAUCUGGAAACAGGUUAGCCGCAAGGCAAAUGUGAAGGUGCUGCAUGGUUGUCGUCAGCUCGUGCCGUGAGGUGUCGGCUUAAGUGCCAUAACGAGCGCAACCCUUAUCUUUAGUUACUAACAGGUCAUGCUGAGGACUCUAGAGAGACUGCCGUCGUAAGAUGUGAGGAAGGUGGGGAUGACGUCAAAUCAGCACGGCCCUUACGUCCGGGGCUACACACGUGUUACAAUGGGGGGUACAGAAGGCAGCUACCUGGUGACAGGAUGCUAAUCCCAAAAACCUCUCUCAGUUCGGAUCGAAGUCUGCAACCCGACUUCGUGAAGCUGGAUUCGCUAGUAAUCGCGCAUCAGCCAUGGCGCGGUGAAUACGUUCCCGGGCCUU
rnacentral:rRNA from 2 species